UGUAAUAAUUUUUAGAAAGCUAAUGUUUUCUCUGUGUAGGUAUUUGAAAUCUUUAAGUGUUUGGUAUCAACAAAAUCAUGUGACGUUUGGGACGUAACUACAAUAGAGGGCAUUGGUGGCCGUUUGGAAGGUUACCAUCCACUGCAAGUAACGCUCGCGGAGAAUAAUGGUUCACAAUGUGGAUACUGCACUCCAGGAUAGCUCAUGGCCAUGUACAGAACAACUAUGUUGGAAGUAGAGCAGUCAUUUGAAAGCAACAUCUGCCGGUAAUACAGGAAAAGGUAUUUAUCCUAUAGUGGAAUAUAUAAGAGUAUCAACAACAUAAAUGAAGUUAAAGAGCUGAGACAACACUAAAUUGACCAGAACUUUGUUAUCGGCGGAGCGACUACCCUUACUGAAAUUUUGAACUUAUUUGAAAAUUUAUCUCCCAUACAAAACUAACUCCCAUAAAAAUAAGGAAUGAGCAUAUUAAACAAAUCGCAUAUAUUGCUAUAAAAAAUUUAAGUAGAAAUAAAAUCUUAAG